rfam:Thermoplasmatales archaeon DG-70 WOR1_52_54_8805, whole genome shotgun sequence.
GCCGCGGUAGCUCAGUAGGGAGAGCGCUAGACUGAAGAUCUAGAAGUCGCUGGUUCAAUUCCGGCCCGCGGCA